rnacentral:tRNA from 1 species
AGGGGAGUGGCUCAAUUGGUAGAGUAGUGGUCUCCAAAACCAUUGGUUGCGGGUUCGAAUCCUGUCUCCCCUGCCA